UACGGAGGAGACUAGCGUUGUUCGGAAUUACUGGGCGUAAAGCGCGCGUAGGCGGCGAACCAAGUCAGGGGUGAAAUCCCAGGGCUCAACCCCGGAACUGCCCUUGAUACUGGUAGUCUGGAGUUCUGGAGGGGUGAGUGGAAUUCCGAGUGUAGAGGUGAAAUUCGUAGAUAUUCGGAGGAACACCAGUGGCGAAGGCGGCUCACUGGCCAGAUACUGACGCUGAGGUGCGAAAGUGUGGGGAGCAAACAGG
rnacentral:misc_RNA from 1 species